rnacentral:rRNA from 1 species
UACGUAGGAGGCAAGCGUUGUCCGGAAUUACUGGGCGUAAAGCGCGUGUAGGCGGUCUGAAUAGUCUGCUGUGAAAGCGCCUGGCUUAACCGGGCGAGGUCGGCGGAGACUCUCAGACUGGAGGCCGGUAGAGGGGGGUGGAAUUCCCGGUGUAGUGGUGAAAUGCGUAGAGAUCGGGAGGAACACCUGUGGCGAAGGCGGCCCCCUGGGCCGCGCCUGACGCUGAGACGCGAAGGCUAGGGGAGCGAACGGG